rnacentral:lncRNA from 1 species
CCCAUAGAGCCCAUUAUCACCCCAUAGAGCCCAUUAUCACCCCAUAGAACCUAUUAUCACCCCAUUGAACCCAUUGUCACCCCAUGGAGGCCAUUGUCGCCCCAUAGACCCCAUGGCCACCCCACAGACCCCACAGUCAUCCCCCCCCCCUGUCGUCCCCCCUUUUGUCCCCACCCCUUUGUCCCCACCCCCACCCCAUAAAGGCACCGCAGCCCGCAGUGCCACCACCGCUGCGGGACCUGCCUGGGGGGUGGGGGGGGGGCAGGUGACGGUGGUGGCGUCUGUCACCAACACCCGCGGGCUGUGGAGCGAUUGUGUCACCGACGCCAGCGGGGGUGACAUCGUGUGUCCCACUGCAGUCACUGCUCACACUGCCCGGUUACCUGCAGGGCAGCCGAGCGUUGGCUGUGGGAGCGGCAGCUGUGGGGACCCCCGGCCCACUUCUCCCCUUCUUGGGGGGUCCGGGGGGGGCGACGGAGGGGUCGGAUCCUGGGGGGGGCGCUGGCUGCUGCUGGC